CUGGAAGAAAGACAGCUUCUUUAAGCCCGGAGACUACAUUUCCCAGAGAGCCAUGCAGGGCCAGGAUGUGUGUAACGCGCAGGCGCCGGGGCAUUUCUGCCUUAUAUAAGGGAGAUUCGCGGCCUUUCUUCCUCUUUUUCCAUCUCCGCUGCCUCCGUGGUUGCUCCGUAUCCUCAUCCAUCCGGAGCCAUCGUGGUCCUGGAAUGUCCCUUGGUGGACUGCUUUGGGAAAGAGGAGAGAGGCAUGUUAUGGGGAUUUUGGAGACCUGGGUGUUCAGGCACGAUGACCCCAUGCUGGGUCUGAUUUCAUCAGACUUGAUACCCAUUCCAGUGAUUUGAUUUGGAUCAGAUUGUUGGAUUUGCAGUCCCUGGGAGGAUUGGCUAGCUCUUAAAAUGAGUCGAAGGUGUUAGGGUGCCAGUGAUGACUGUCUAAUACCAUACAGACACGAAGAAUGGUGUUCGAAGUACCCAGCUUUCCUUAAAGGAAUGUAAAAUUGGUGGAUGACCAAUUGAAAUGAUGAAGUGAAAUAUGGAGACUUGAAAAAUCUGAGGUGUGGCCUUAAAUGAAGAGACAGCCUUUGCUUAUGAAUAUGAAACAUGGACUUGGCUGUUCCAGCUGUUAUUAGAAUAAAAGAGUCUUGUUUUAUAUUUUGCAAAUAAAAAAUUUGUUAACUUGA